CCUACGGGGGGCUGCAGUAGGGAAUAUUAGUAAUGGGCGAAAGCCUGAACUAGCGACACCGCGUGUGCGAAGAAGGCCUUCGGGUUGUAAAGCACUUUUAGAGAGGAUGAGGAAGGACGGUACUCUCUGAAUAAGUCUCGGCUAACUACGUGCCAGCAGCCGCGGUAACACGUAGGAGGCAAACGUUAUCCGGAUUUACUGGGCGUAAAGCGCGUGUAGGUGGUUCUGUAAGUAGGGCGUGAAAGCUCCUGGCUCAACUGGGAGAGGCCGUUCUAAACUGCAGAGCUAGAGGAUGGUAGAGGAAGGUGGAAUUCCGGGUGUAGCGGUGGAAUGCGCAGAUAUCCGGAGGAACACCAGUGGCGAAGGCGGCCUUCUGGACCAUUCCUGACACUCAGACGCGAAAGCUAGGGUAGCAAACGGGAUUAGAUACCCUGGUAGUC
rnacentral:rRNA from 1 species